rnacentral:rRNA from 1 species
UGGGGAAUUUUCCGCAAUGGGCGAAAGCCUGACGGAGCAAUACCGCGUGAGGGAGGAAGGCUUUUGGGUUGUAAACCUCUUUUCUCAAGGAAGAAGCAAGUGACGGUACUUGAGGAAUCAGCAUCGGCUAACUCCGUGCCAGCAGCCGCGGUAAUACGGAGGAUGCAAGCGUUAUCCGGAAUUAUUGGGCGUAAAGAGCGUGUAGGCGGCCUGGUAAGUCUGCCGUGAAAACUCGGGGCUCAACCCUGAGCGUGCGGUGGAUACUGCCAGGCUAGAGGAUGGUAGAGGCGAGUGGAAUUCCCGGUGUAGCGGUGAAAUGCGCAGAUAUCGGGAGGAACACCAGUAGCGAAGGCGGCUCGCUGGGCCAUUCCUGACGCUGAGACGCGAAAGCGUGGGGAGCAAACAGGAUUAGAUACCCCCGUAGUCC